GUGAAACUCAAAGGAAUUGACGGGGACCCGCACAAGUAGCGGAGCAUGUGGUUUAAUUCGAAGCAACGCGAAGAACCUUACCUAAGCUGGACAUCCCAAUGACAUCUCCUUAAUCGGAGAGUUCCCUGCGGGGACAUUGGUGACAGGUGGUGCAUGGUUGUCGUCAGCUCGUGUCGUGAGAUGUUGGGUUAAGUCCCGCAACGAGCGCAACCCUUG
rnacentral:rRNA from 1 species